UACGGAGGGGGCUAGUGUUGUUCGGAAUUACUGGGCGUAAAGGGCGCGCAGGCGGCUUGGCAAGUCGAGUGUGAAAUCCCUUGGCUUAACUAAGGAAUGGCGCUCGAAACUACCUCGCUAGAGGACGGGAGAGGGAAGUGGAACUCUCGGUGUAGGGGUGAAAUCUGUAGAUAUCGAGAGGAACACCGGUGGCGAAGGCGGCUUCCUGGCCCGUAGCUGACGCUGAGGCUGCGAAAGCUAGGGGAGCAAACGGG
rnacentral:rRNA from 1 species